UAAAUUUUAUUUUAUUAAAAUAUUUUAUUUACAAUAAAAAGAUAAUAUUAAUUUAUUAAAUUUAA
rnacentral:tRNA from 1 species